rnacentral:lncRNA from 1 species
CGUCCGUCCGGGCUUCAGAAAAGCCUCUCGCGCGGUGUCCCCCAGCGUGCUGCUCUACAGACUAGCGAGAAAUGGGUUUGGCAGGCGGACUUUUCGGUGGAACACCUCCCUGCGAGGAGAGGCUGUGCAGCCCGGAGAAGAGAAGGCUGUGGGGAGAGCGGAGGGCGAACUGUCAGUAUCUGCAGGGCUGUGAGAAGGGAGGGGACAGACUCUUCAGCAUGGCUGCUGUGAUUGCACAAGGGGAAAUGGCUUCAAACUAAAGGAGGGGAGAGUUAGAUGAGAUAUAAGGAAAAAGUCCUUUACAGUGAGGGUGGUGAGGCACUGCAUGGGUUGCCCUGAGAGGUGGUGGUGCCAAGGUCAGGCUGGAUGGGGCUGUGAGCACUGCUGGAGCUGUGGGUGUCCCUGGGCACUGCAGGGGGCGGGAGCAGAUGGCUGAAAGGUGCCCAAGGACAGUGGCAGCUGGAGUAGCACGUGUCACACACAGCCUGUGUGCCCACUGCCGGUUGCUGCGGGGAGCAGCUGUCCGUCUUCCUCAGCCUGCUGUGUGUGAGGGAGAAUUAAGCAACGGCUCCAUGACAGCAGCUCUCAGAGGAAAUGAAGCAAAGCAAAUGCUCAGCAAGGCCAUGCAGAUGGCAUGCAAUAACUGAUAGAUAUGUGUCCUAACUGACUCUUGAAAUGAGGAAACCACUGUGUCCUGAAUAAACAAUUUAUGGAAAUGUGAAAGGAAGAUGAAGGUUCAAGAGGAUGCUUUAUGUUCUUACAUCACUGCACUGCCUGGCUGCUCAGUACAAAGACGUUGCUACAGCAGACAUCAUCUAAGGGUGGUUCUGCGGGCACCAGUCAAGACCACUGAAACCAUCAGCACAUUCUUCUGAUAGCACAGAACUUCCAUUGAAGCUGUCCUGGGAAAGCAGAGUGACACCUUGUUCAGCAACACAGCAUGUGAAGCCAAGGGUAUGAGCAGGAGGAAAUUCUCUCUUUGUUUUCCUGCAUUUUCCCUCCCUGGUAAGGACAACUGUCUAGAGAAACUCUGCCACUUACCUGUGAGUUUUUGGAGCCUCAGGAUCUCCUGGAAGCUAUGAUGCACAUCAUGUGCAAAACAAAGGUGCAGCAUAGCCCUUAGCAGUGAGGCACUCAGGCACUUGAAGACACAGUGCAGUCACAAAACUCAGAAGCAGAAAGGGAAAACCAAGUAACAUCCUUUGGAAAAAUUGCUUAAUUUGGGCAAAUGUCCCCAGCACAGAUGGUAAGAUCAGUAGUGAGCUGAAGAAAUGAUCCCUUGGAAAUGUAAGUGUUCACAAAAGACAGCUGAAAACUUUGUUACUGUUCACACAUAGUGAAGAGGUGUAAAUAACACAGCCCAGGCAAGGUGAAGCCAGAUCUCCCCUUUUUGCUUUGGAUGAUACACUACCCUUAAAGGUCAGAGCACUCCGUGCCAGCAGUGGAAGUCUUGGAAGCUCCCCACAGGCACCUGCCAUGGGGCUGGCUCUCAAGUGAGUUGUUAUCUCACACUGUCUGAAGUUAGAGCUGACAGAGUUGCUUUUUCAGCUCCCCAUUGCCAGUUGUCAGCCCUUCUGGCAGCUGUAGUAGUCGCAUUGCAAUGUCCUUAGCCAUG